rnacentral:rRNA from 1 species
CGAGUGGGGAAUAACUUCGGGAAACCGAGGCUAAUACCGCAUAAUACCCACGGGUCAAAGGAGCAAUUCGCUUGAGGAGGGGGUCGCGGCCGAUUAGUUAGUUGGCGGGGUAAUGGCCCCACCAAGACGGUGAUCGGUAUCCGGCCUGAGAGGGCGCACGGACACACUGGAACUGAAACACGGUCCAGACUCCUACGGGAGGCAGCAGUGGGGAAUUUUGCGCAAUGGGGGAAACCCUGACGCAGCAACGCCGCGUGGAGGAUGAAGUCUCUUGGGACGUAAACUCCUUUCGAUCGGGACGAUUAUGACGGUACCGGAAGAAGAAGCCCCGGCUAACUUCGUG